rnacentral:rRNA from 1 species
GGAUUAGAUACCCUGGUAGUCCACGCCGUAAACGAUGUCAACUAGUUGUUCGUCUUAUAAACAAGGUGAGUAACGCAGCUAACGCACUAAGUUGACCGCCUGGGGAGUACGGCCGCAAGGUUAAAACUCAAAUGAAUUGACGGGGGCCCGCACAAGCGGUGGAGCAUGUGGUUUAAUUCGAUGCAACGCGAAGAACCUUACCAUCCCUUGACAUCCAGUGAAUUUUCUAGAGAUAGAUUAGUGCCUUCGGGAACACUGAGACAGGUGCUGCAUGGCUGUCGUCAGCUCGUGCUG